UUCCGUAGGUGAACCUGCGGAAGGAUCAUUAACACGAAAUCCAAUUUCAUAACCUGAAUCAGAUCGGAUUGGGCAACCAGUCCGCGUCGGUGGUCUUAACGGGUCAUCGGCACAUAUUCUUCUUUAUCAACCUUCUUGAUGACAAGGAUUCAACGUUAACAAUCACAAUUUUUAGCGAUGGAUGCCUCGGCUCGAGAAACGAUGAAGGACGCAGCAAAAUGCGAUAAGCACUGUGAAUGGCAGAAUUCCGCGAAUCAAUAGAAUGCUGAACGCAUCCUGCACUUUUGGUUUGUUCCGAAAGUAUGUCUUCUUCAGGGCAUAAGUACCCUUAUGCAAUCUGGCUUAGCAUCACGCUGCCUGAUUGGCGUUGUUGUGUGUCAUCGAACGCUUCCCCUGCGAAGCCGAUGACGCAUUAAAAUCAGUAGUUGUUCUCAACUAAGUAAGCUCUCGCUUAGUGCUGUAUAGCUCUUCAGCGAUGGCAUACGGGGUUGGGUGUAUGCAACACAUCAUUCUCUGAAACUCGAUUUCAGUUUUUGCAUGAAGUGAGACAAGGCUACCCGCUGAAUUUAAGCAUAUCA
rnacentral:rRNA from 1 species